UACGAAGGGGGGCGAGCGUUGUUCGGAAUUACUGGGCGUAAAGGGCGCGCAGGCGGCCCUUGAAGUCAGGCGUGAAAGCCCCCGGGCUCAACCUGGGAGGUGCGCUUGAUACUCGAGGGCUUGAGUGCGGGGAGAGGAGAGUGGAAUUCCCAGUGUAGAGGUGAAAUUCGUAGAUAUUCGCAAGAACACCAGUGGCGAAGGCGGCUCUCUGGGACGGUACUGACGCUGAGACGCGAAAGCGUGGGGAGCGAACAGG
rnacentral:rRNA from 1 species